UAANGGGGAGAGACCAACAGGGAUUGCCCUAGUAACGGCGAGUGAAGCGGCAACAGCUCAAAUUUGAAAUCUGGCUCUUUUAGGGUCCGAGUUGUAAUUUGCAGAGGGCGCUUUGGCUUUGGCAGCGGUCCAAGUUCCUUGGAACAGGACGUCACAGAGGGUGAGAAUCCCGUACGUGGUCGCUAGCUAUCGCCGUGUAAAGCCCCUUCGACGAGUCGAGUUGUUUGGGAAUGCAGCUCUAAAUGGGAGGUAAAUUUCUUCUAAAGCUAAAUAUUGGCCAGAGACCGAUAGCGCACAAGUAGAGUGAUCGAAAGAUGAAAAGCACUUUGGAAAGAGAGUCAAACAGCACGUGAAAUUGUUGAAAGGGAAGCGCUUGCAGCCAGACUUGCUUGCAGUUGCUCAUCCGGGCUUUUGCCCGGUGCACUCUUCUGUAGGCAGGCCAGCAUCAGUUUGGGCGGUGGGAUAAAGGUCUCUGUCACGUACCUCUCUUCGGGGAGGCCUUAUAGGGGAGACGACAUACCACCAGCCUAGACUGAGGUCCGCGCAUCUGCUAGGAUGCUGGCGUAAUGGCUGUAAGCGGCCCGUCUUGAAACACGGACCAAGGAGUCUAACAUCUAUGCGAGUGUUUGGGUGUCAAGCCCGAGCGCGUAAUGAAAGUGAACGGAGGUGGGAACCCGCAAGGGUGCACCAUCGACCGAUCCUGAAGUUUUCGGAAGGAUUUGAGUAAGAGCAUGGCUGUUGGGACCCGAAAGAUGGUGAACUAUGCUUGAAUAGGGUGAAGCCAGAGGAAACUCUGGUGGAGGCUCGCAGCGGUUCUGACGUGCAAAUCGAUCGUCAAAUUUGGGCAUACGGGCGAAAGACUAAUCGAACGAUAGAAAUCGCUGGAUACAACCGAGAUUU
rnacentral:rRNA from 1 species